rnacentral:lncRNA from 1 species
CUAGUCAACAAACUACAUAAAGGUGUAUGGGGGGGACUUGGAAUCUGCAGUAAGAAAGAGAGGAAAGAUGGAAGUUCCUCCCUCACAAAUAUCCCACCUCUUCUGCAUGCAUCUCCAAGAAGACCUUCUGUUUCACAAGUCACCCUUCCAGCAAUGGGACGAGUCUUUGGCAGUUCAGUCUGGAAAAGUAAACGCUAUUUACCCAAAAGACAGUAAUUUUAAACUCCCCUUUCGGAUGGUCUCCAGUGAGAAAUGAAGCUGAGGAGGUGGAGAGGACAGGAGGGGCUGUUCCUCCAGCUGUUGGAAGCAAUCUUGGCUUGGAGAAGAAUGUCUGAUCCAACCAUAGCACACUGGAAACGUUGGAGCCGUCAGUAUCCGGGGAGCAAUUCCAGAGAAGGCCUAACUUCCAACAGCCCAGGCUUUUCAUGAACUAUUCUGGUCGUUGUUUCUCUGUUUAGGGAGUUCCCUUUGGCAGGAGCUGCGAUUUACACAACAGAAGGUGACACCACUGGCAGCGGAGCAUGCCUCUUCGAAUCCCCUACCCGGGCAGUGCUCAGCUCCUUCUUCUGCUUCAUGCUCCAAAGCUAGGAACCCACUGAAAACCCCUGCUAUGCAAGCCCUUUUAUUUAGAUUCAGGCGGCUUUAUUUUCACUUCCUUCCCUUCGAAAUGCAGGAUACUCUUUCUCAAAGGCAGAUUAGAUGUUCAACACUCUGACUACAUUCAACUAAAACCCCAGGUGAUCCCCAUUAAAAACCAGUCAGGCUUUGGGGGAGAUGCCAGAGGGGGUGUUGUUGUGACUUGUUCUUUCUGGAAGCCUAAGCCAGUGUCUGGUCUCUUCUAUGUCUGGUGUGGCCCAGCUGGUGAGGGGGCCUCUGCCAAGCACUGAGAAGUUAGCAUAUUACAUCCUUAUUACAUUCAACUAUCUCUCUCUCUCUCUCUUUUUUUUUUUUUUCGGUCAUGCAACUUGAGUGUGUUUGGGACUAAGGCCUUGAGUUUCUGCAUUCUGUGUCUUCUAUCAGCUGCUUUCACUCUCACAUUUGUGACACCCAAUAUUGCAACUGGGGCCUCCAGGGUGAGACUGUGCAUCCCUAGGAAGCACUGUUGUGAUGGAGCCAAAAGGCCUGUGUCUUCCGGGGACAUGAACUUCCCAGCCGAGUGUUACCACAGCCAGUAACAGACGUAAAACUCAUCUCUUCCCUCUAGGGUCCAGCAAAAAAGCAAAAAUCCCAGAAGCUGAGCUGCCUUUUCACCCAGCCCAGCUAGAAUAGACUGCUGUGCUCAAAUAGACAGAGGACUCCAUGGAAAAUGUGUUUCCCAGUCCUUUCUCUCCUAAUAUCCCUAACAGGAGAGAGAUCACGCGUCCACAUGCAUAGAGGCAGAGAAAGAAAAGGAAAGAAAAAAGGUGAUAUUUUAUUUUGCAAGUUCUACUGCAGCCAAAUUGUUCCCCUUUUAAGAAGUUGGGGAAAGUCAGGAAAGUGAGAGUAGAGAAAGAGCAUUUAUUGAGUGCCAAUUAUUUAUUCAUCAAUUAUUAGGUGUUUGCCCUGUACUAGGUAGCGUGCUUCAUGUAUGUUUCAGGGAUUUAAUGGUGAUUAUAUAUCUAAUCUUUAAAAUAACUAUAUAUUUUUGUCUUGGGGCAAGGCUGAUUAUAACCUCUACUUUUACAGAUGAGAAAACUGAGGCCUCUUUCAGGUUGCACAACUUGCAUGUGGCAGAGCAAAACUCUGAAGCCAGGUGCAUUUUGACUCCAGAGCCUGUGCAGUUGCUACCCACUCUGAUCCUCUUACAGGGUCAUGUGAAAUGAUGUGGAAUAAUUAAGUUUAUUAUAUCAUGGCAUUGAAAUACCAAUUAAACACUAAAAUCAUGAUGAUAAUAUAAUUCCAAAGAAAAACUUGGUGUUAGGGUUAUGGGCAGUUUAUGUGUUCAACAAUUACAUACUUUUUGAUAUUGAUAUACAAGUAAAAUAAAGGAAAAAUAUUGUAUUAAUAACGUUUGCUGUGGAUCUGCUUCUGGGAGGGAAAGAACUGCUUUAAGUAGCCUUGGUACUAAGACAAUAAACCACGGAGAGCCAAGAACACAUAGCCUCAUGCAUAGUAACAAAAUCAUCUCAUCCAAAAGGAUGAUCAAAUCAAUACUAACUAUAGGAAUAUUUCUAAAUUUGGGUGCAUGUAAUUAUGCAAUCUUAAUAAAUGAUUUUACAAUCUUUAACAGAGGAAGACAUAAAAUAUGCAUUUAAAUGACCAAAUAUUUCAUGAGAAUGCACUUCAUAUCAGAAACUAUGUUUGGUCCUGGAAAUACAGAGAUUAAAAAUACUCUCCUUACUUCUAAAGAAAGUACAACUUAUGAAAGGCUUAACAACAAAUUUGCUUUAGGUGGUCUUUAGUAAUUGGGUCCUGGUUUGUCACAAGCACUGUGACCCUUGGCAGAUCAAGAUAGCAUGGUGGAAAUGCUGUCAGAGCCAGGGAAAUUAGGGCUUGAACACUGACCUCAAUCCUUACUAGCAUUCAAUAAAUGCAACCAUUCUAAUGGCUGAAAGUAGAUCUGUUUAUGUGUCAGAUCUUCAUUUCCUCAUCUAUAAACCAAGAGGUCUGGUUGAUAGAAGAAGACUCUUGUAGCUCUGGUAUCUUUGACUCUAUAUUUUGAAAAAUCUGAUUCCACCAUAACAGAUAUGGGAGGUUGUGUCAUGGUCAAUCACUAAUAUCAGGAAGAGAAAAGUAAGUCAAGACUAAUUUUUCUACCGCAGCUACUAUUUCUCUCAAAUAUAGAAUUCAUUUUCCCUUCUCCGCCCAUUGUACCUCCACUGGGCUAUUAACCAGACUUCAACUUGACAGGUUUAAAAUUCCAUCUUAUUUGUUGCCCACCCCAAGCUCAAGUAGCUAAUGAGCAGAAAAAUGACCAGAAGAUGGGAAAGAGGAUAAAACACAGAGUACUUCGAUAUUAACAAAGAAAGUGACAGCUGAGAGCUGACUGCAACUUGUUGACCUUCUCAGGGAGCUUCUUGAAUAAAUACAUGUGGUUUAAUUUUUUAACAAGGUUCACUUCUCAAGACCCUCCCCCACCAGGAUAGCAAAAAAAAAAAAAAAAAAAAAAAAAAAAAAAAAGUAGAACACUAUGAUUGUAUGAAAGUAGUGAUAGGAAUUCAAAAUCUGAAGAAAGAAAGAUGAAAGACAAAGCAUUAAAAAAAAUCUGGGCACUUUGUCCACAAAGACAACAGAUAUUAAAGAUUGAAAAUCUUGAAGUCAUGAAACUCCCUAGCAUGAGCUCAAGCUGUUGCCCUCUGUGACAGCCCCAGUUCUAGGACCCCCAGGGUGGCACCAGCAGCACUUCUCAGUGUGUGGUCCUGAGUGCAGCCUCCCUGCAGCUGGUGCAGCUCUCAGCAGCUGCCUCUCGCCCACGGCGCUCCUCCACGGUGACAUCCACGGGUGGCAGUUCCCAGCUCCCCAGCACCUGUCCUUCCACAAACUGACACUUGGUCACCCGCUGUCUGAAGCUGGGAUGCUGCCCUGUGCAAUUGUCUCCACAUCUGCACCAACUCUGCAGAAGUGGCUCUUUCAAUCAACUUAAGAUUUUAGAACACUAGCCCUGAAAGGAAGCUGAGAUCUACUUGUUUCUCAUAUCCCACUCCCACCACUGCUGCUCCCCACCUCCCACACACACACACUAGGAAGCCAAGGGUCAAGGUCCGGGGACUUAAAACACCUGAACUCAGAGCUGACUACUGAACACAUACACCAGCCCCCCAGUGGUCCUUCUGCCAUGUGUCUCCUGAGGAUGAGGAUGGUGAUUCAGGAUCACAUGGUACUGCGCAGACUCACUCCUCAU